GGCCUCGUAGGUCAGCCGGUAGAUCGUGCGCGUGAAAAGCGUAGGCGGCAUCCAUGCGUGGGUUAGAAUCCCACCGAGUCUA
rnacentral:tRNA from 1 species